UCAGUUUGAUUCUGGCUGAACCAUUGACUGUAAUGAUCCAACUACAUGUAACCUGUAAAAUACUUACACCACAGUAGGAAAAUCUAUAAAUUUUGCAACAAAAGAUAUGGAAAUCAUUCACCGGGCCGGCAAAAUCCGUGCCAGCCGCCGCGGUUAGACGGUAGGCCCAAGUCAAUGACUGAGGUCGAGUGAUAUGAUGAACAGAUAAUUUAAAAUUGCGCAGGGGUCAAAUCCUAAAACAACGUGCACCAAAAUUAUCAAACCUACAAAUUCACCAAAUUAUGGCCUAAAACAAGGAUUAGAUACCCUUCUAUCCCAUAACCUAAAUAUACACCGGAUAAUACAAAUUAAAUUUAAAACCCAAAGAACUUGGCGGUGUCUCAUACAAUCAGGGGAACCUGUCCCUUAAAUCGAUAAUCCACGAAUGUCUGAGUCUAGCUAGAACAACCAGCCUGUGUACUGCCGUCGGCAGCAUACCUUAAAAAGCAAGUAUGCGAUAAUAAUUCUAAGGACGUCAGGUCAAAGUGCAGCCAAUGCUAGUCUGGAGAUGGGUUACAUCUUGUACUAAAUCUGAAAUCUGUUUAAAAACAGAAAGAAAGCUGGACUUGAUUGUAAUGACUUAAACAGUAGUGUCAUGAACAAGUUCCUGAGACAUGUACACAUCGCCCGUCACUCUCGUCGAAAGAUGAGAUAAGUCGUAACAAAGUAGGCUUAAUGGAAAUUGAGCCUGUU
rnacentral:ncRNA from 1 species